rnacentral:rRNA from 1 species
GAUGAACGCUAGCGGCAGGCUUAACACAUGCAAGUCGAGGGGUAGAAGGAGCUUGCUCCUUUGAGACCGGCGCACGGGUGCGUAACGCGUAUGCAAUCUACCUUUUGCAGAGGAUAGCCCAGAGAAAUUUGGAUUAAUACCUCAUAGUAUGUGAGGAUGGCAUCAUUUUCACAUUAAAGUCACAACGGCAAAAGAAUGAGCAUGCGUCCCAUUAGCUAGUUGGUAAGGUAACGGCUUACCAAGGCUACGAUGGGUAGGGGUCCUGAGAGGGAGAUCCCCCCCACACUGGUACUGAGACACGGACCAGACUCCUACGGGAGGCAGCAGUGAGGAAUAUUGGACAAUGGGCGCAAGCCUGAUCCAGCCAU